CGCGUAGGUGGUUGUGUAAGUCAGGUGUGAAAUCCCCCGGCUCAACCGGGGAACUGCAUUUGAUACUGCAUGGCUCGAGUGCAGCAGAGGGAAACGGAAUUCCUGGUGUAGAGGUGAAAUUCGUAGAUAUCAGGAGGAACACCGGUGGCGAAGGCGGUUUCCUGGGCUGACACUGACACUGAGGCGCGAAAGCGUGGGUAGCAAACAGGAUUAGAUACCCUGGUAGUCCACGCUGUAAACGGUGAGUACUGGGUGUGGGAAGUGUAAUGCCUUCUGUGCCGAAGCUAACGCGUUAAGUACUCCGCCUGGGGAGUACGGCCGCAAGGUUGAA
rnacentral:rRNA from 1 species